GGGGCUUCUUACCAUUCCAAACAAAUUUUUUCACUAUCCUAUCAAACCAUGUAAAGUAAGUCAUGGGAAUCUCCAGAGGAAUAGAAUGAAUUAAAUAAUUUAGUUUAGGGACACAGUUCAUUUUAACCACAUUAACCUUACCAACCAUUGAUAACUUUAGUGUUGCCCAUCUACUGGUAUCACAAUCAAUUUUAUUUAGUAAUGGAUCGAAAUUUACCUUAACUAGGUCUUUUAGCUGUGGUGGAAAGAGUAUGCCCAAGUAUCUUAUACCCUGCCUGGGCCAUUGAAAUGCGCCUGGUUGGAAGGCUGGGGGUGGGCAGUAAGCUGUUAAAGGGAGCGCCUCUGAUUUAGACCAAUUCACCCUAUAUCCUGAAAACUUUGAAAAUGAAUUAAUUAUUCUCAAAAGAGCAGGCACUGACCGACCUGGUUCAGAGGCAAAUAAUAAAAUAUCGUCUGCAAAAAGCAGAAGUUUAUGUACUUCGCCCCCUGCCCUUACUCCUGGAAAGUCAGUAGCCCUUCUUAUAGCAGCUGCCAAAGGCUCUAAUGCCAAGCAAAAUAACAAGGGUGAUAGGGGUGAGCCUUGUCUGGUUCCUCUCCCUAGGGUGAAAUAGUCUGAUAUGAGUCCAUUGGUUUGAACCGCAGCUUCUGGUUGAUUGUAAAGUAACUGAAUCCAUUUGAUAAACUUACUACCAAACCCAUAUAUAUCCAGUAUUUUUAACAAAUAGCCCCAUUCAACCAUAUCAAAAGCCUUUUCGGCGUCUAAAGAAAUGGCUGCCACAGGGGAUUGCUCAUCUGACACAGCCCACAUUAUAUCAAUAAAGCGCCUUACAUUAUCUGUAGAACUGCGGCCAUUAAUAAACCCAACUUGGUCAGGGUGAAUCAAAGACGUUAUGACUUUGUUCAAACGGUUAGCUAAGAUCUUUGAUAUAAUUUUUACAUCCAACUGGAUCAAAGAGAUUGGUCUGAAAUUUUUACAUUCUGUGGGGUCUCUCCCUUUUUUAGGAACCAAGGUAAUGAGUGCCUGUCUCAUAGUUUGAGGUAAUAUCCCUUUUUCCAGUGAUUCUGCAUAUAGAUCUAGCAGCAGUGGGGCUAACUCCGCUGCAAAGCUCUUAAAAAACUCUGCAGUAUAGCCAUCGGGACCAGGCGAUUUUCCUGCAGGCAGUGCUUUUAUCACUUCUAUAAUCUCUUCUACCGUAAUAUCUUCAUCUAGAAUUUGUUUCUGCCUUUCAGACAAUUUAGGCAGUUCUAAUGGGUCAAGAAAAGCAAGCAUUUCUUCCUCUGUUGAGGUAGAAGUAGAACUGUAAAGGCCCAUAUAAAAUUCCUUAAAACACUUGUUAAUAUCUCCAGUUGAUGUUAAGGUAUCUCCACUUAACGCCCUGAUCGCUGGAAUAGUGGAGACCUGCUCUCUUUCUUUAAUUAACCUGGCAAGCAGCUUCCCUGUUUUGUCCCCUGACUCAAAAAAGGUUUGCCUUGCCUUAAAUAAUAGAAAUUCAAUUUUUUUAGACAAGAUAGUAUUGUACUGGUACUUUAAUUGUGUUAACUCCUUAAGAAUAUUGUUAGACAUCCGUCUCUUUAGCUCUGCCUCUAAGCAUUUAAUUUUCCUUUCCAAUUCCAGAAGUUCUUUAGCUUUUGUUUUCUUGAUGGAUGAAGUAACUGAAAUAAUGCGACCUCUGAUGACAGCUUUCAGAGCCUCCCAGGCCACACCCAUAGAUGUACCUGUGGACCAGUUAGUCGCAAUAUAUAAAUCUAGCUCUGCCUUCAUCCAUAUCAUAUUGUCAGGAUCUUGUAAGAUGGAGGAGUUAAGCCGCCAUCUAGUAGAACGCUGUCUUUCACAAUAGGGCUGGAUUUCUAAACAAACAGAUGCAUGAUCGGAAAUGAUUAUAUUUCCUAUUGAGCAGGCAAGCACUGAAGGUACCAGAGGCUUUGAUAAUAAAAAAUAAUCUAUCCUUGAGUAUAUCUUAUGGACUGGGGAAAAGAAAGUGUAGUCCCUCCCACUGGGAUUUAAGAUCCUCCAAAUGUCCACCAACCCCAAAGCUUUACACAUUCGUUGCAGAGUAAGGCUUGCUCGUGGAGACCUACCCACUGCACCCCCACUAUGGUCUAACACAGGGUCCAUCAGUAAGUUGAAGUCUCCACCCAGUACAAUGUUGUGGUUACCCAUAGCAUUAAACCUCCCCUCCAGAUCUAGAAAAAAUAAAGGAUCAUCUCCAUUAGGAGCAUAUAUAUUUGCCAGGAUAACAGUCUGCCCCUGAAUUUCUGCCAAUACAAUAAUGAUUCUUCCUGAAUUAUCUUUUGUUUGUUGGAUACAUUUAAAUUGUAAAUUUUUAUUAAUAAGUAUGGCAACUCCCCUACUAUUGCUAGUCCCUUCACUAUAAAAAACGUGACCAACCCAACCACUACAGAGUUUGAUAGACUCUGUUGGCGAAAGAUGAGUUUCCUGCAAGAAUACCACAUCACAUUUAUCUUUCCUAAUGCUUGACAUUACUUUUUUCCUCUUCACUGGAUUCCCUAACCCUUUAACAUUCCAUGUAAAGAGACGCAUAUUACUCGUCUUAGACAUAUUUAGCACUAACAAAAAAUGAACUUGCACAUGGCUUACCACCAAGAUCUUGAAACAAAACACUGCGUUGGUGACUUAACAAAAAACAACCCCAAAAAACCCUGACACAUAGAAUAUGCAUUAGAACCCGAACUCUGCAUAUCCUGUUACCCAUUACGUUAACCUCGCUGUGGUCCAUGACUCCUCUACGAGUCUCCCUCUUAUGGGCCCCGCUGGCUCCACUGUUAGCAUUCAUUCAACCAGAACCAUAGUGACGUCGCGUCCUUUUAGUAAUAUUAAACUGAGCAAAAUCGUCAAACCUCGUCAGUCAGCACACAAGUAUAAUGGCAGUCUAAGUUAUGAGUCCAUUACUCUCGCCUUCAUCUCCCUAAAUACUCACGAUCAUUACAUGCUGUCAAUAAAAGUCAUGGCUUUCUUCGGGCAAGAAAAUGACUUCUCGCCGUCCUCGCACCUGACCUUCAAUGUAGCGGGAUACACCAGUCGAAAGCUCACCCCCCGGUCAUGCAGCUUCUUCUUACAGUCUUUAAACUUAUCCCUUUUCAGCAUUGUAGACCGGGAGAAGUCCGGAAAGAGCAUGAUGUUGCUGUUGACCCAGGUCAGCUUCCCCUUGUUCCUGGCCGCUCGUAGCACUAAAUCCCUGUCGGAUGAUCGAAGAAACUUCGCCAGAAUUGGACGUGGCUUCCCUCCUAUCGGCGGGCGUUGGGAGGGUACUCUAUGUGCUCGUUCAAUCUCCACCGUCUCCUCGAUGCUAAGCAACUCCGGUAUCAGAUCCUCCACAAAUUUGGCCACCUCGGUCCCUUCCGCUCCUUCUGGGAAUCCAAGAAAACGAACAUUGUUGCGUCUUGAUCGAUUUUCCAUAUCUUCCAAUUUCUCCCAAAUGGCCUCAACAUCCUUCUUGUUAGCGAGAGGAUUAGCUUGCAAGUCUUUAUCCACUGAUUCGAGGUAUUCUACCCGCCUCUCCAUUUCAUCAAUUCGUGAGAUUAAAGUGGAGACUUUAGCUUCGGUUGACGCAGUGGUCCGGCGAAUUUCUGCCAGUCCCUCUAUUUCGGUGGAGAUCUUUAUCAAAAUUGCGUUAAUAUUGCUAAUAUCCUGGCUUAUAUCCUGAGAGACGUGGCCACUGGAUGUAGCAUUAGCACCGCCAUCUUUAUCGCCCCCAUUCUGCGAACGCAAAAGCCUUUUAAUGUCGCCACCGGCGGGCGGUUUCGAGCCUCUUGACAUCUCCAAGAACUUCUAAUGCUAUUCUCACAAGCCGACUAUUUCUUUCUGGUUUUAAACCAACCUUAAAAUGAUAAUUACAGCAGAGCCUCGCGGAGCACAGUUCUAGGCAGCCUUUCCUCGCAUUGCGUCACGUGACCCUCUUUGAAGGCAAGCAUAAAGUGCCUGCACAAUUAGACUAAACUGUCAAGUCCUAGUAAGUAAUGUUUGUUCAUCUGUCUUUGAGUAAAGUGCUGAACUCCUUGUAACCUUGUGUUAAGUAAUUGCUGAACACUAUAAAAGGCAAAAUUUGUUUUUAGUUGAAUGCAAUGGAACUUAGUAGAGCUAAAAACUUUGGUCAAUAGCUGCAUGUGAAGUAGCAAGAGACUACUGAAUAAAUAAUACUCAACUGCAGCAUCUCUUUCUGCAUCUUCUUCUUACCGGGGUCUCAGUAAAUGGCUGUUUAACAUUAGUCUGGUUCUGCUCAAAGUUCUGGCUGUUAAAAGUAAGGACUGUUAUCUUGCUCUCUUACUUGCUAAUGGUGGACUUCGUAAAUAUUACCAAAGAUUUGUUUGGAUUUGUACAUUUCGGAAUUUAACAUGAAUUGGGACCAUAUUAAUCAAGAUUUAUGGACUGAUUGACCAAUUUGCCCAACUAAUUGUUGUUUUGCUCUUACAAGCAGCAUGUUGCAGUAAAAUGUAAACUAUAUCAAGAGAAUGACCAAACCGAUGCUUAUUUUAAUCUUAUUUUAAAUCAUGGCGAUGUCAGUUAUAGACACAGAAAUAGCAAACACAGACUUAUGUUCUUUUAUAUCUUUAGAAACAAGUAUUAAAAUAACCAAUUUCUUGUGAUUAUUAUCGUUAAAAGUUAAAACAAUUUUAAAGGGACAGUAUUUGAAAUUCUUUUCUCAGAUCCAAAAUUUUGUAGAACAUUGAAGAAGAUAAGUUUUAGAGGGUUUUACUAGCUUUUUCUAUUGUGAAUAUCAAUUAAAAAUUAUAUUCACUUUAAAUCUGUACUCCCACUAUUGUUUUCCAUGACCCAACAUCUGCAAAGAGUACAUCUAUAUUAUGUCAAUACCUUCUGGUCACUGAAUGCGCUACUCAAUGUUACUAUUGUAAUUUUCCACUAAUAGACUAAUUAUCACCCAAUUACAACAUUUUUUUGUAUUUUACUGAAUUAAUGACAGUUAUUUUUUAGCCUGUAAGGGGGUAUUCUACAAAAAUUGGCACUUAAUCACUUCUUAGGGAUUGAAGCUUUUCUCUGGUUCGCUUCUGGAAAUGCAAUCAUAUCUGCAACAACAGUUUAGUUAGCUUAAACAUCAAGAUGACCCUUCAGUCCUCAUGGUGCAACCACACAACUGUACAAGUUACAUCAAACUGUAACUAGUGUUAUAUCUUAAUGUAGACCUAUGGGUAUGAACUAAGGCUGAAAUGAUUGAUCUUUAAAGCCACACUUGUCAAUCUUUUUUAUUACUUAUUUUGCAUAGGAAGCGAAUUAUGAAAAAAAAAAAAAAAGUGCCUCAGUUCUUAAAGUGAUUAAUAAAAUUAUAUUGGUCCCCCGAGCUUUAAAAAGUCAUUUGAGUGUUGAUCACAAUAUGAUAUCAGUGAAUGAAGUUUAAAUUAUUUUUAUGAGUGCUGGUAAAGUAUUCGUUAAAGUCUAUAUCCCCUGUUAUAAAAAAUUAUUGCAAUGCUUGAUACAGUUUUUCUGCUGCUGCUAUCAAAUAUUGUUGGAGUCAGGAAUUCAUUGGGGUCACUCCAUACAAUGACAGAUUGGAUUAAAUGCAGGACAUUGAGAUGUCUUCCCAGGCUGCCAGCAUACAGCAGAUUUAUAUAAGCAUUUUAAUUAAGUUUUCAAUUACUAUUUCUUCGGCUACAACCUCCCCUAUAGCAUCCCUUCCUUUCUGAGCCUUGCCGUCAGCCAAAUUAUUGUGUCCUGUGCUGGGCAGCUGAGCAAAAUGCUGCAGGAUAUAGGGCUAAGUCCCCAUUCUCUCCUUUUCUCUCCCCCCCUUCCUCACUUUAUCCACAGUAAUCCCCAAGAGCCCUGGAUGAUAAUGGGUAAUGGAUCCGGGGGACCCAUCCCUUCCAGAAACACACACUCUCACACCCUUACACUCAGCGGUAAUGCUGAAGGUGCAAGUUCCUAUGUCUAACAUUCUGCGUCCCUGGACCUUGUAUCCAUGGCGAUUACCCCAUCUUCCCAAUCUGAAUCCAUACGUUCCAUAAUUCGUUAUCUGUAUUUCUACUGGGGCAGGUUUCAUAUUCAGGUGUUGGUGGAAAGUAACAGCAGAAAUGCAGAGUUUUCAUGGAAGCAAAAAUAAUGAGCAGCUCUCUCUCCAGAAGACUUCAGAGUUACUUGGUGAGAUGUAUCCUUUGGGGUGCCAUCAAGACUUUGUAAGACUAUCUAUUUUUGUCUUCGAUGACAGAAGUAUUACAUACGCCUGUGCAUUGAAAUUAACAAUAUGACUUUUAGUUUCCCUGCUUACAUUUAUAUUUUGAAAUAUUUGGGUGUUUUCAAAACAAAACUGAAGUUUUCGUUUGCAUUUCUGGAUUUAAUUACUUUUGGUGAGUGUCUAUAGCUGACUCAAUUUCUACAGCAGCAACAGUAUUGUGAAACCAAACUACAGUUGCAGUAUUGUGAAACUGUGGUGCACUGAGAUAUGCAGUCGUGCUUCCUUUCAUAAUAAAACGUCUGCAUUACGACUGAUACGGUUUCCUGUUCGUGGAGUAUCCUGUUCAUGGACUUCAGCUCAGCGUUUAACACCAUUGUUUCCAUUUUCAUCCAUCACAAGCUGGCUGACCUCACAGUGCCAGCCCCCACCUGUUAGUGAAUCACCAGCUUCCUGACAGAUAGGAGGCAGCAAGUGGGGUUUAGGAAUAUCAUAUCCAGCACCCGGACUUUCAGCACUGGUGCCCCCCAGGGGUGUGUUCUCUCCCUGCUGAUCUUCUCCCUCUACACCAACGACUGCACCUCAGGGGACCCAUCUGUCGGUCUCCUGAAGUUUGCGGAUGACAACACAGUGUCAUCAGUCUCAUCCAAGAUGGUGAUGAGUCUGCAUACAGACGGGAGGUGGAUCAACUGGUCCUCUGAUGCAGUCAGAACCAUCUGGAGCUGAACCUGCUCAAGACUGUGAAGCUGACAGUGGACUUACACAGGAGCCCUCCUGCACUCGCUCCCCUCACUAUUCUUAAUGACACAGCUUUCCCUGGAUUCACAGUCUCCAGGGACCUAAAGCUGACCUCUCACAUAGAUUCAAUUAAAAGAAAAAAAAAAGCCCAGCAGAGGUUGUACUCCCCGCGACAGCUCGCUUAGUUCAACCUACCUCAGAAGCUGCAGGUUCAUCUCUACGCCAUCAUCAUCCAGUCGGUUCUCCGCACAUCCAUCACUGUUUGGUUUGGGUCAGGCACCAAGCAGGACAGGAACAGACUUCAAGAGACUGUCAACUAACAGACUAUCAAGACUGCAGAAAAAAAAAAACAUUGGCUCUCUUGAAGUAUCUAUUAUGCACACAGUACAGGAAGCAAUUAUCUGAGCCAGCAGCACAAACAGGUAUGCAACAAAAUAGCCUUCUGGAUGUAAAGUACUCAAUUAUUGCAUACUGUCUGUUACUGUUGGCGUGUCCUGAUUUAAAUCUCAUUUUCUUCUGAACUCUGGGGCUUCAUUUAUAAAGACCUUCAUCAAGACUCAGAACUCAGUGUAGCUGUUGCCAGACUAUUUUACCUGUGUAUUUGAUUUGAUUUAACCAGGAUAACUGAUUAAAGAACUUUUGUAACAAGAGUGUUCUGGCCAAGACAGCUGCUGUACAUUCAAACAAAGUUACAGACAUACCAAUGUUUAAUAAUCACAGUACACAUGUCAGCAUUUCUCUAAUAAUACAGCAGAUGUCAUACUGUUUACCAUCGCUUAAAGAGUCUGUAAUAUUCCCAGAAUGAGAUCAUGAAAGGUGAAAAUGAAAAUAUAUUACAACAUAUAUGACAAUGAACAUCACAUGAUCCACAGUCAAAUGUCAGCGCACGUCUUACUGGAAGAGUGUUUUAGUCCAAGCUUAACUCUCUCCCACAGCAAGAAAUGUACAAAGCUUUUUUCUCUCUUCUGUAAAUUUCUCUGGUUGAGGAUUUAGGGUCCAGUGGUUGGAAUAUGGAUGAAAGGCUGUACUGUGUUGCUGCCUUGACCCAGCCUGGUGGUCAAUAUCCUGACCGAGACAAAUCAAACACCCCCCGAUGUCCAGUUGCCCGAGGCCAUUCAUCGCAUUUCAAAGUGCUUGGAUCUCAAACCUUUGCAAAGCCACGAGCAACUCCUUUUAACUGAUGCCCAGCAGCAACAGCACACAGAGCUGCAGAAUAAUUCAGCUCAUCCGCAGUAGGAGGCCAUACUCUAUCACGUAUCACAUUCAAAAGCUCAGAACCUGUUGAAAGACGCAUUUUCUUAGGUAGCCGUCUACCUUUGUUCUCUGCUUCAGAGCAAGCUAGCAGAAGCCUACUUUGUUAAACAAGGAACAAAAUCACUGACCUCUCGUUUUCUUGUGUCACAUCAGGAUGGGAUCAACACAUGCAUGAGGUCCGAGCUGGAUACUCUCAGGGGCUAAACUAGCAAUGUGCAACACACUGGAGCUAAAUCUAUCUCCUGCAAAAUUUGUUUGAAUAAAAUUGUAAUUCUAAAAUAGUAGAGGCUAAACCUUAACACAGGGCCAUGAUCCAUUUAUUUGUCUUUUUAAUUAAUCCGCAGCUUUUCCUGUUUUGGAUUGAGGAUCUACUAUAUCUUAAUACAAACAAGGCUUAAGUGUGAUACUGUAAAUAAUGGACGGUCGGCUGUUUAAACAAAAUAAACCCUUUGAUUAUACCUUUAUGUGAUUGUGAUUGCAUGUUAUUGAAUGUGCAAUGACACAAAUGAAUAUUAACCAGAUACAACAUUGUGAGCACAGGUCUGGUCUUAUCAUGUUUUUGGCCUCAAGGCAGUUGUCCUUGAGUCAUUUAAUUGGUAAUAUCUAGUUCAGAGAUUCAAUUAAAAUAAAUGAUGUGCACUGCAUUUUAAUUCACACAGCACUAGAGGGAUUCAAUGUCAGACUCUGCUCUGAAUCAGUGUUUAGGCUUUAAUGAUUUUAAGAGUCUGUGUAACUACACAUCAAAGAAAUAAUUCAACAUUUUGGGAAAAUGUUCUUUUUUGCUUUGCUUCAAUACAGUGUAAAAUACAACUGGAGGCUGUUGGCGAAAGCAGCUGGUAAAAAAGAUGAAUACAUAUUCAAGCGAUAAAAACAGUAUAUCUAGAUCCCUUAAGCUCAGCAGUGUCAACAUUGUUUAAUGUUUAAUAGGAACAUUGUGUAAAAGUUUUUGACAUGCAACUCCUCCCAAAACUGCACAAGUUCAUAUCAAUUCAACGUUGAUAUGCAGAGGUCACUUCUGGAGAUGGGGAUUUAUGGUGGUGAAGGUAGCAAUGGUCUUUAACGCUCUUAUCAGGAAUGUUGCAAUUAUGAUAGUUGACAAUAAUAAUAAUAAUAAUGAAAAGAACUCUUCUUGACUUUUGACAGCCAAAUAUUUUAUUCAGGGUAGAUAUUUCAUGUAAAAAAAUGAGCUAUUGACUCUUUAGCUUGACUGACACCUACCCCCUUGUGCCAUUAAAAAUUACAACAAAUGAAUCAUUGGUCUUGUUACUGAUGGUCUUGUUUGCUUACCAAUUUCAUCAAAAAAUGCAUCAAUUUGGGUUUCAGUCUAUUUAAUAAACAUGUUUUUAAAAAAUCCCAAUCUAUUGCUGUGGUGCAAGAAUUUCCAAUGCAGUGAAUAAAUUGAGUUGCACAUUCACUUUCUGUUUAAAUAAGAGCAUAAUAGUAAAUGGAUAUGAUCAACACCUCUAUUAUUAAAGGUGGGGUAGGCAGGAUCUGAGGAAGUGUCAGUUUUUAGGAGAAAUUUUGAAUGUAAACACUACCCCUCCCAACCAGUUUUCCCCUCAGCUCCUCCUCUCCCGCCAUCUCUGCUCCAAAAAUCCCCGCCCACAUACAGACACUCCUGCUCGCCUGCAAUUUUUCAAUUUAAUUCAGAUAUAAUGCAGAUAAAUAUGUCAGAUAAUUACAAAUGGGGCCCAGUCAACGUUAAAGUAAAAAGCACUGGUGCUACUGUAGAUUCCAACAGACUAUCAGCUAACACAAUGUUUGCAGGAUUUCUACAGCCAAGAUAAAGUGACAUACUCCAGUAUUUCUCCAGUAUUUACUUUGUUUUCUUGUUUGUGUUGGCAGUCAUGGCCAAAGGAGGAUUUAGACAACUUUCCAUACUUUCUGGUCGGUUUCUACUGUCUGAUAUUGUAGCACGCUAACUGUGUUUGGGCUCAUGAACAACACAAGGAAGCAGCGUCUGCCUCACAACCAAUCAGCACUAAGGAGCAGCGUCCGCCUCACAACCAAUCAGGUUGGGGGAGGAGGAGAAUGGCUUUGUUUACAGUCAGAAAGAGCGGAGCGCUCUAAAAAAUUUAAAAUGUUUACUACACAAAGAUAACAAAACACAGCGAUAUAUUACCAAAUGUCAUCAAUAAUUUAUAGCUACUGGCUGAUAUUAAAAGCUUUUUAGUAUGUAUGCCACAAAGAAGAUUCUUCUUUAACCAAAUUUUGCCUACCCCACCUUUAACCUCAAUCCC
rnacentral:lncRNA from 1 species